rfam:Triticum aestivum genome assembly, contig: Triticum_aestivum_CS42_TGACv1_scaffold_329408_4BS
AAGGUACUCCCUCCGUCCGAAAAAACUUGUCAUCAAAAUGAAUGAAAAGAGAUGUAUCUAGAACUAAAAUAUAUCUAGAUACAUGUCUUCUUAUUCUUUUUUAUGAAAAUUUCGGACGGAGGGAGUAGAUG